rnacentral:rRNA from 1 species
CUUGGUCAUUUAGAGGAAGUAAAAGUCGUAACAAGGUUUCCGUAGGUGAACCUGCGGAAGGAUCAUUAGUGAAUGAGACGCAAGUCUCAAACACCCGUCGCAACUGGCUGUGCGCCUCUCGGGGCUGCACGCCGGAAGCGACACAUCUCACACACCUGUGCACCUUUCGGACGUUGGGUGCUGCAAAGCCCCGACGCCUGCCCUUUUACAUACCACUGUCUAUGAAUGUUAACUAUGUUAAACAAUACAACUUUCAACAACGGAUCUCUUGGCUCUCGCAUCGAUGAAGAACGCAGCGAAAUGCGAUAAGUAAUGUGAAUUGCAGAAUUCAGUGAAUCAUCGAAUCUUUGAACGCACCUUGCGCCCCAUGGUAUUCCGUGGGGCAUGCCUGUUUGAGUGUCACGUGAAACCCUCACUCCUGUCAUUGCCGCGAGGCGUGACUUGCAGUGGACUUGGACUGUGCCGUAGUUGGCUCGUCUUGAAAUUCAUUAGCUGUGCUGUGCGAUUUCGGCCGCCUGGUGUGAUAACUAUCUACGCCAACUGUGUCGUCAUUGGUCGGUGUGGCUCAUAAUCGUCGGCUUUGUUCGACAAUACACAUAACGCUCUGGCCUCAAAUCAGGUAGGACUACCCGCUGGACUUAAGCAUAUCAAUAAGCGGAGGA